CGGCGUCCUGGCGCAGGCGCAGCACGAUGUCUUCGUGGGCCGACAGCGGGUGGGCCAGGGGUUCGACGCCCUGGGUGUCGAC
rnacentral:tRNA from 5 species